rnacentral:rRNA from 1 species
AAAGAGGCAUUAUUUUCAUUCGAGGACGUGCCUUCCUCUUUGCCUCCUGCUGUCACUAACAUUUUGCAGGAGUUCGCUGACGUCUUUCCACAAGACGUGCCAGCGGGAUUACCGCCUAUUCGAGGGAUUGAGCAUCAGAUUGACUUAAUUCCCGGUGCUUCACUGCCAAACCGUGCACCAUACCGUACCAAUCCAGAGGAGACGAAGGAGAUUAUGCGCCAAGUACAAGAGCUUCUCGACAAAGGUUAUAUACGCGAAUCCCUUAGUCCUUGUGCUGUUCCUAUUAUUCUAGUGCCGAAAAAGGAUGGUACAUCACGUAUGUGUGUUGAUUGUAGAGGCAUUAAUAAUAUUACUAUUCGUUAUCGUCAUCCUAUUCCUAGGCUAGAUGAUAUGCUUGAUGAAUUGAGUGGCUCUACAAUAUUCUCCAAAGUUGAUUUGCGUAGUGGCUACCAUCAAAUUCGUAUGAAAUUGGGAGAUGAAUGGAAAACAACAUUUAAAACUAAGUUUGGAUUAUAUGAGUGGUUAGUCAUGCCUUUUGGGUUAACUAAUGCACCUAGUACUUUCAUGAGAUUAAUGAACGAAGUUUUACGUGCUUUCAUUGGACGAUUUGUGGUAGUUUACUUCGAUGACAUACUGAUUUAUAGCAGAUCUUUGGAAGAACAUUUGGAACAUUUACGUGCUGUUUUUAUUGCUCUACGUGAUGCACGUUUGUUUGGUAACCUUGGGAAGUGCACCUUUUGCACCGACCGAGUAUCUUUUCUUGGCUAUGUUGUUACUCCACAGGGAAUUGAAGUUGACAAAGCCAAGAUUGAAGCUAUUGAGAGUUGGCCGCAGCCCAAAACGGUCACACAAGUGAGGAGUUUUCUUGGCCUCGCUGGAUUCUAUAGGCGUUUUGUGAGAGAUUUCAGCACCAUUGCUGCACCUCUAAACGAGCUUACAAAGAAGGAUGUGCCUUUUGUUUGGGGUACCGCACAGGAAGAAGCCUUCACGGUAUUGAAAGAUAAGUUGACACAUGCUCCUUUACUCCAACUUCCUGAUUUUAAUAAGACUUUUGAGCUUGAAUGUGAUGCUAGUGGAAUUGGAUUAGGAGGUGUGUUAUUACAAGAUGGCAAACCUGUUGCAUACUUUUCUGAAAAAUUGAGUGGGCCUAGUCUGAAUUAUUCUACUUAUGAUAAAGAAUUAUAUGCUCUUGUUCGGACUUUAGAAACAUGGCAACAUUAUUUAUGGCCCAAAGAAUUUGUUAUACAUUCUGAUCAUGAAUCUUUGAAACAUAUUAAAAGUCAAGCUAAACUGAAUCGUAGACAUGCUAAAUGGGUUGAAUUCAUUGAGACUUUCCCUUAUGUCAUUAAACACAAGAAGGGAAAAGAAAAUGUUAUUGCUGAUGCAUUGUCUCGCCGCUAUACUAUGCUUUCACAACUUGACUUCAAAAUAUUUGGUUUGGAGACCAUCAAAGAUCAAUAUGUGCAUGAUGCUGAUUUUAAAGAUGUAAUGCAGAAUUGUAAAGAAGGAAGAAUGUGGAACAAGUUUGUCGUUAACGAUGGAUUUGUGUUUCGUGCUAACAAGCUAUGCAUUCCAGCUAGCUCCGUUCGUCUUUUGUUGUUGCAGGAGGCGCAUGGAGGAGGAUUAAUGGGACACUCUGGCGUGAAGAAGACGGAGGACGUACUUGCUACACAUUUCUUUUGGCCAAAGAUGAGACGGGAUGUUGAGCGUUUUAUUGCUCGAUGCACUACAUGUCAAAAAGCUAAGUCACGACUCAAUCCUCAUGGUUUAUAUAUGCCUUUGCCUGUACCUAGUGUUCCUUGGGAGGAUAUAUCAAUGGACUUUGUUUUAGGUUUACCUCGAACAAAGAAGGGGAGGGAUAGCAUAUUUGUUGUCGUGGAUAGAUUCUCGAAGAUGGCACACUUUAUACCAUGUCAUAAAAGCGAUGAUGCUGUUAAUGUUGCUGAUUUGUUCUUUCGUGAAAUUAUUCGCUUGCAUGGUGUGCCAAAUACUAUUGUUUCAGAUCGUGAUACUAAAUUUCUUAGCCACUUUUGGAGAUGUUUAUGGGCUAAGUUGGGGACUAAACUGCUUUUUAGUACUACUUGUCACCCCCAAACUGAUGGACAAACUGAAGUAGUCAAUAGAACGUUGUCUACUAUGCUUAGGGCUGUUUUGAAGAAUAAUAAGAAAAUGUGGGAGGAAUGCUUGCCUCAUAUUGAAUUUGCUUAUAAUCGUUCAUUGCAUUCUACUACUAAGAUGUGCCCUUUUGAAGUUGUGUAUGGUUUCCUACCUCGUGCACCUAUUGAUUUGUUGCCUCUUCCAUCUUCGGAGAAGGUUAAUUUUGAUGCUAAACAACGUGCUGAAUUGAUUUUAAAAAUGCAUGAGUUAACUAAGGAAAACAUUGAGCGUAUGAAUGCUAAAUAUAAACUUGCUGGAGAUAAGGGUAGAAAACAUGUUGUGUUUGCACCUGGAGAUCUUGUUUGGUUACAUUUGCGUAAGGAUAGAUUUCCUGAUUUGCGUAAAUCAAAGUUAAUGCCACGUGCUGAUGGUCCCUUUAAGGUGUUAGAGAAAAUAAAUGAUAAUACAUAUAAACUUGAGCUGCCUGCAGAUUUUGGGGUUAGUCCCACUUUUAACAUUGCAGAUUUGAAGCCUUAUUUGGGUGAGGAAGAU